rnacentral:rRNA from 1 species
AAAUUGAAGAGUUUGAUCAUGGCUCAGAUUGAACGCUGGCGGCAGGCCUAACACAUGCAAGUCGAACGGUAACAGGAAACAGCUUGCUGUUUCGCUGACGAGUGGCGGACGGGUGAGUAAUGUCUGGGAAACUGCCUGAUGGAGGGGGAUAACUACUGGAAACGGUAGCUAAUACCGCAUAAUGUCGCAAGACUAAAGAGGGGGACCUUCGGGCCUCUUGCCAUCGGAUGUGCCCAGAUGGGAUUAGCUAGUAGGUGGGGUAACGGCUCACCUAGGCGACGAUCCCUAGCUGGUCUGAGAGGAUGACCAGCCACACUGGAACUGAGACACGGUCCAGACUCCUACGGGAGGCAGCAGUGGGGAAUAUUGCACAAUGGGCGCAAGCCUGAUGCAGCCAUGCCGCGUGUAUGAAGAAGGCCUUCGGGUUGUAAAGUACUUUCAG